GAUGAACGCUAGCUACAGGCUUAACACAUGCAAGUCGAGGGGCAGCAUGAACUUAGCUUGCUAAGUUUGAUGGCGACCGGCGCACGGGUGAGUAACACGUAUCCAACCUGCCGAUGACUCGGGGAUAGCCUUUCGAAAGAAAGAUUAAUACCCGAUGGCAUAAUUCUUCCGCAUGGUAGAACUAUUAAAGAAUUUCGGUCAUCGAUGGGGAUGCGUUCCAUUAGGUUGUUGGCGGGGUAACGGCCCACCAAGCCUUCGAUGGAUAGGGGUUCUGAGAGGAAGGUCCCCCCACAUUGGAACUGAGACACGGGUCCAAACUCCUACGGGAGCAGCAGUGAGGAAUAUUGGUCAAUGGACGAGAGUCUGAACCAGCCAAGUAGCGUGCAGGAUGACGGCCCUAUGGGUUGUAAACUGCUUUUAUAAGGGAAUAAAGUGGAGGACGU
rnacentral:rRNA from 1 species